rnacentral:rRNA from 1 species
GGGUUGUGAGGUUAAGCGACUAAGCGUACACGGUGGAUGCCCUGGCAGUCAGAGGCGAUGAAGGACGUGCUAAUCUGCGAUAAGCGUCGGUAAGGUGAUAUGAACCGUUAUAACCGGCGAUUUCCGAAUGGGGAAACCCAGUGUGAUUCGUCACACUAUCAUUAACUGAAUCCAUAGGUUAAUGAGGCGAACCGGGGGAACUGAAACAUCUAAGUACCCCGAGGAAAAGAAAUCAACCGAGAUUCCCCCAGUAGCGGCGAGCGAACGGGGAGGAGCCCAGAGCCUGAAUCAGUGUGUGUGUUAGUGGAAGCGUCUGGAAAGGCGCGCGAUACAGGGUGACAGCCCCGUACACAAAAAUGCACAUGCUGUGAGCUCGAUGAGUAGGGCGGGACACGUGGUAUCCUGUCUGAAUAUGGGGGGACCAUCCUCCAAGGCUAAAUACUCCUGACUGACCGAUAGUGAACCAGUACCGUGAGGGAAAGGCGAAAAGAACCCCGGCGAGGGGAGUGAAAAAGAACCUGAAACCGUGUACGUACAAGCAGUGGGAGCACAGAGCAAUCUGUGUGACUGCGUACCUUUUGUAUAAUGGGUCAGCGACUUAUAUUCUGUAGCAAGGUUAACCGAAUAGGGGAGCCGAAGGGAAACCGAGUCUUAACUGGGCGUUAAGUUGCAGGGUAUAGACCCGAAACCCGGUGAUCUAGCCAUGGGCAGGUUGAAGGUUGGGUAACACUAACUGGAGGACCGAACCGACUAAUGUUGAAAAAUUAGCGGAUGACUUGUGGCUGGGGGUGAAAGGCCAAUCAAACCGGGAGAUAGCUGGUUCUCCCCGAAAGCUAUUUAGGUAGCGCCUCGUGAAUUCAUCUCCGGGGGUAGAGCACUGUUUCGGCAAGGGGGUCAUCCCGACUUACCAACCCGAUGCAAACUGCGAAUACCGGAGAAUGUUAUCACGGGAGACACACGGCGGGUGCUAACGUCCGUCGUGAAGAGGGAAACAACCCAGACCGCCAGCUAAGGUCCCAAAGUCAUGGUUAAGUGGGAAACGAUGUGGGAAGGCCCAGACAGCCAGGAUGUUGGCUUAGAAGCAGCCAUCAUUUAAAGAAAGCGUAAUAGCUCACUGGUCGAGUCGGCCUGCGCGGAAGAUGUAACGGGGCUAAACCAUGCACCGAAGCUGCGGCAGCGACACUGUGUGUUGUUGGGUAGGGGAGCGUUCUGUAAGCCUGUGAAGGUGUGCUGUGAGGUAUGCUGGAGGUAUCAGAAGUGCGAAUGCUGACAUAAGUAACGAUAAAGCGGGUGAAAAGCCCGCUCGCCGGAAGACCAAGGGUUCCUGUCCAACGUUAAUCGGGGCAGGGUGAGUCGACCCCUAAGGCGAGGCCGAAAGGCGUAGUCGAUGGGAAACAGGUUAAUAUUCCUGUACUUGGUGUUACUGCGAAGGGGGGACGGAGAAGGCUAUGUUGGCCGGGCGACGGUUGUCCCGGUUUAAGCGUGUAGGCUGGUUUUCCAGGCAAAUCCGGAAAAUCAAGGCUGAGGCGUGAUGACGAGGCACUACGGUGCUGAAGCAACAAAUGCCCUGCUUCCAGGAAAAGCCUCUAAGCAUCAGGUAACAUCAAAUCGUACCCCAAACCGACACAGGUGGUCAGGUAGAGAAUACCAAGGCGCUUGAGAGAACUCGGGUGAAGGAACUAGGCAAAAUGGUGCCGUAACUUCGGGAGAAGGCACGCUGAUAUGUAGGUGAAGUCCCUCGCGGAUGGAGCUGAAAUCAGUCGAAGAUACCAGCUGGCUGCAACUGUUUAUUAAAAACACAGCACUGUGCAAACACGAAAGUGGACGUAUACGGUGUGACGCCUGCCCGGUGCCGGAAGGUUAAUUGAUGGGGUUAGCGCAAGCGAAGCUCUUGAUCGAAGCCCCGGUAAACGGCGGCCGUAACUAUAACGGUCCUAAGGUAGCGAAAUUCCUUGUCGGGUAAGUUCCGACCUGCACGAAUGGCGUAAUGAUGGCCAGGCUGUCUCCACCCGAGACUCAGUGAAAUUGAACUCGCUGUGAAGAUGCAGUGUACCCGCGGCAAGACGGAAAGACCCCGUGAACCUUUACUAUAGCUUGACACUGAACAUUGAGCCUUGAUGUGUAGGAUAGGUGGGAGGCUUUGAAGUGUGGACGCCAGUCUGCAUGGAGCCGACCUUGAAAUACCACCCUUUAAUGUUUGAUGUUCUAACGUGGACCCGUGAUCCGGGUUGCGGACAGUGUCUGGUGGGUAGUUUGACUGGGGCGGUCUCCUCCUAAAGAGUAACGGAGGAGCACGAAGGUUGGCUAAUCCUGGUCGGACAUCAGGAGGUUAGUGCAAUGGCAUAAGCCAGCUUGACUGCGAGCGUGACGGCGCGAGCAGGUGCGAAAGCAGGUCAUAGUGAUCCGGUGGUUCUGAAUGGAAGGGCCAUCGCUCAACGGAUAAAAGGUACUCCGGGGAUAACAGGCUGAUACCGCCCAAGAGUUCAUAUCGACGGCGGUGUUUGGCACCUCGAUGUCGGCUCAUCACAUCCUGGGGCUGAAGUAGGUCCCAAGGGUAUGGCUGUUCGCCAUUUAAAGUGGUACGCGAGCUGGGUUUAGAACGUCGUGAGACAGUUCGGUCCCUAUCUGCCGUGGGCGCUGGAGAACUGAGGGGGGCUGCUCCUAGUACGAGAGGACCGGAGUGGACGCAUCACUGGUGUUCGGGUUGUCAUGCCAAUGGCACUGCCCGGUAGCUAAAUGCGGAAGAGAUAAGUGCUGAAAGCAUCUAAGCACGAAACUUGCCCCGAGAUGAGUUCUCCCUGACCCUUUAAGGGUCCUGAAGGAACGUUGAAGACAACGACGUUGAUAGGCCGGGUGUGUAAGCGCAGCGAUGCGUUGAGCUAACCGGUACUAAUGAACCGUGAGGCUUAACCUUACAACGCCGAAGGUGUUU